rnacentral:rRNA from 1 species
UACGUAGGGUGCGAGCGUUAAUCGGAAUUACUGGGCGUAAAGCGUGCGCAGGCGGCGCGUUUAAGACAGGUGUGAAAGCCCCGAGCUUAACUUGGGAUUGCGCUUGUGACUGGCGUGCUGGAGUGUGGCAGAGGGAGGUGGAAGUUCCACGUGUAGCAGUGAAAUGCGUGAGAGAUGUGGAGGAACACCGAUGGCGAAGGCAGCCUCCGUGGGCCA